ACUUUCAUGUAUAUUUUUGUAGCAUCUACACAUGAUCAGGAUGUCUUUAGCUUCUAUGAAGACGAGCAACAUUGUAAUGGAUUCGAAGAAGUAUUGACACGAUAUGGAGACAUCGUUCCCCAUCUUUGACUUGCAGCUCCUGCAACCUCUAGCCACCGUAAGGGUUAAUCUAUAUCUUUUUUGUUCCUUACUGCAGGACCUACAUCUUUUGCACCAACUAUUAAGAUGGCCAUGACAAAAACAGAAACCUCACGUUCCAUUUCCCUCAAAACAUAAACCUCACCUUCCAUUUCGAAUUACAUCCUUCGUUUGAACCGCUGCUCAGUUCUCUCGCAGAAACUACUAACGAGAACAUCUUCUGAAAACCGCAAAUUUGGUGCACAUUCAAAGAAAAAAAAUCUUAAACCCAGAAAAGGUUGGGUUUUUUGUGAUUUGGGGGUUUUGUUUUCAAGAGGAGACCAGUUUGCUGGUGAUGAGGAUAUGCAGCAGCAAAGGUGUUAUGAUGAUGCAUCUGCAUUUGAUAAUAAAUGCAAGGAAAUUGACUGGUAAUUAACAGUAUUACCAUGUAUAUGUCUUCAGUUGUUGUUACUGAAAGUAUUUAGUUGAAUUCUACUAUUUAUAAAAAAAACAUCUAAACAAUGAUAUGUAAUCUGAGAGAAGAGAUUUAAUGGCAUUACUAUGUUUUUAGUUCGA